GUCCAAUUGGUCUAGAGGUAUGAUUCCUGCUUCGGGUGCAGGAGGUCCCGAGUUCGAUUCUCGGAUUGGACC
rnacentral:tRNA from 1 species